rnacentral:SRP_RNA from 1 species
UCGUGAGCUAGGCUGGGAUGUUAGCAGUAUCCUGUAUCGGCAAAUCUGCUCUAGGCCGGGCCGAAGCCUUCAAGGCGAAUGCCAAAGGUUUCCAAAACCUUUGCUUGAGGCCGUUGACCUUUUGUCCUUAAAGGCGUCUUGCAUGAAAGAACCCCGCCAGGUUCGGAAGAAAGCAACGGUAGUUCAGGCAAUGCGUGCUUCAAGGGUAACGAAAGCGAGGCGCUUGCAAAGUUCAUUUUGGGAAUUCUUUCCACUCCACUUGAGGGCUCGCUCACAU